AACCCCCACAGGCUUUCUGGUCCCCAGGCUGGGCUGGGCGAGUAUCUCUUUGAAAGGCUCACCCUCGAGCAUGACUAGGAGC
rnacentral:pre_miRNA from 1 species